rnacentral:rRNA from 1 species
GACGGAGGAUGCAAGCGUUAUCCGGAAUUAUUGGGCGUAAAGCGUCCGCAGGUGGACAUACAAGUCUGCUGUCAAAGUGCAGAGCUUAACUCUGUAAAGGCGGUGGAAACUGUAGGUCUUGAGUAUGGUAGGGGUAGAGGGAAUUCCCGGUGUAGCGGUGAAAUGCGUAGAUAUCGGGAAGAACACCAGUGGCGAAAGCGCUCUGCUGGGCCGAAACUGACACUGAGAGACGAAAGCUAGGGGAGCGAAUGGG